UCGGGUAUCUGGGUUUGGAGGAUGGUUCCUUCUGAGGCUCUCGCUUUAUGAUCCUGUUCUUCCUCUUAACAUUGAGGAGUUUGCAGCUUUGGAUACAUCCGCUUUAGACAAGUUUGUUCAAGUAUCAUGAGCCGAUGAUGCAGAGCGCUUUGGUACAAGUAUCUUUCGGCACAUUAGACUAGCAGUUAAAGUUGGCUUUGGCGUCUACCUCUGUACAGUACGUAUAAUCAGUGCGUCAAUCUCUGAUGCUGAGGAGGUUCAUUUUCCAGAUGGUUUUGGUCACAGGCACUCAAAAUAGUACUUGAUGGCUAUGUUUACUUUAGUUUUUACUUAUGUUCCAUGUAUGCAACAGGGAUGUUCUGAUAAAUAAGAAACGUUCUUCGACUACAGAAUUUGUCGGAGGGAUGUUUGAA